rfam:Tenacibaculum sp. LPB0136, complete genome.
UUAGCAGACUUAUCUUAUCGACUUAAAUUUAUUUUAAGUAGGAAAGUCCGAACACCAAAGAGUAGCAUAGCGGAUAACAACCGUCCAACGUAAGUUGAGGACCAGUGCAACAGAAAGAAUGUACAGUUAGGCUGUAGUGAAACCAGGUAAACUCUAUGCGGUGCAAUGCCAUGUAUAUUAGAAAUUGAGAGCUACUCGCUCGAUUCUAAAGGGUAGGCAGAUUGAAGUUACGAGUAAUUGUAACUCUAGAUAAAUGAUAAGACUUAGACAGGAUUCGGCUUAUUAGUCUGCUUUUUUA